AUUCAGCUGAUGAGUCUCGAAUAGGAUGAAACAUGCGUUCUGGAU
rfam:Schistosoma rodhaini strain Burundi genome assembly, scaffold: SROB_scaffold0002117